rnacentral:rRNA from 1 species
UACGUAGGGUGCAAGCGUUAAUCGGAAUUACUGGGCGUAAAGCGUGCGCAGGCGGUCGUGCAAGACAGAUGUGAAAUCUCGGAGCUUAACUCCGAAACUGCAUUCGAUACUGCCGUGCUUGAGGACUGGAGAGGAGACUGGAAUUUACGGUGUAGCAGUGAAAUGCGUAGAUAUCGUAAGGAAGACCAGUGGCGAAGGCGGGUCUCUGGACAGUUCCUGACGCUGAGGCACGAAGGCCAGGGGAGCAAACGGG